GGGGGUAUAGCUCAGCUGGGAGAGCAGCAGACUGAAGUCACGAUUCUUCUGAAGGUCCCGCGUUCGAUCCGCGGUACCCCCA
rnacentral:tRNA from 1 species